rnacentral:rRNA from 1 species
GCGAAUGGCUCAUUACAACAGCUAUAAUUUACUUGAUCUUGACACAAUCCUACUUGGAUAACUGUGGUAAUUCUAGAGCUAAUACAUGCACCAAAGCUCCGAUCCUCGCGGAGAGGAGCGCAUUUGUUCGCCACAAAACCAAGCGCCCUUCUGGGCGUCCAGUGCUGAACCAGAACAACUCAGCUGAUCGCACGGUCUUGCACCGGCGACGUGUCUUUCAAGUGUCUGCCUUAUCAACUUUCGAUGGUAGUGUACCUGACUACCAUGGUUGUGACGGGUAACGGAGGAUAAGGGUUCGACUCCGGAGAAGGGGCCUGAGAAAUGGCCACUACGUCUAAGGAUGGCAGCAGGCGCGCAAAUUACCCACUCUCAACGCGAGGAGGUAGUGACGAGAAAUAACAAGACCGUUCUCCUACGAGGCCGGUUAUUGGAAUGGGUACAAUUUAAACCCUUUAACGAGUAUCUAUGAGAGGGCAAGUCUGGUGCCAGCAGCCGCGGUAAUUCCAGCU